UACGAAGGGGGCUAGCGUUAAUCGGAAUUACUGGGCGUAAAGCGUGCGCAGGCGGUUAUGCAAGACAGAUGUGAAAUCCCCGGGCUCAACCUGGGAACUGCAUUUGUGACUGCAUGGCUAGAGUACGGUAGAGGGGGAUGGAAUUCCGCGUGUAGCAGUGAAAUGCGUAGAUAUGCGGAGGAACACCGAUGGCGAAGGCAAUCCCCUGGACCUGUACUGACGCUCAUGCACGAAAGCGUGGGGAGCAAACAGG
rnacentral:rRNA from 1 species